rnacentral:rRNA from 1 species
CACGUAGGGGGCAAGCGUUGUCCGGAAUCAUUGGGCGUAAAGAGCGUGUAGGCGGCCCGAUAAGUCCGCUGUGAAAGUCCAGGGCUCAACCCUGGGAUGCCGGUGGAUACUGUCGGGCUCGAGUCCGGAAGAGGAGUGUGGAAUUCCUGGUGUAGCGGUGAAAUGCGCAGAUAUCAGGAGGAACACCAAUGGCGAAGGCAGCACUCUGGGACGUGACUGACGCUGAGACGCGAAAGCGUGGGGAGCAAACAGG